UAGAGGAACCAUCAUACUUACUUCUCUGU
rnacentral:piRNA from 1 species